GGCACCUGGCAAUGCAGAGCACAAAUACAUGCCAUGUUCUGUAAUACAGUGGGGAAGAGCUGCACCACACUGAAAACCUUCAAUACACAUUGGUGUUCCCUACCUGCCUUGUCCUUUAACAAGAGGAGACAUUGCUCACAGAACUGAAGACAGGGGUUGUAGGCCCUGUGCCAACAAAGGAAAGGAAUGAAAUAACACCUCUCACAGCUGACUUCCCUGAGCAUCUGAUAGGUGAAGAUUCCCAUAGUGCAUGACAGCCCCUGUCAGCUUGUAGAUGGCUGUCUUUUCAUCAGCAGUGAAGCCCAGGAUGUCAAUGGCACUCUGUCUUGACAGUGACUUUGCCCGAUUCCCUGCUCGUGAUUGUCCCUUUCACAAAGGAUUCUUUGGGAUGCACCACAAAGACAGAUGACUUGGCAUCAAAAGGUGAUAAAUAUAUUUUUUGUCUGGAGUAAGAAAAUGGAUAUCUAAGAAAGCUGAGAAUUCUGGCACUCUACAAAGGUGGUUAGAAGGGUGAACUUCACUGAACUUCACAGAAGCAAACCACAGCAGAGAUAAAUGGAUGGCAGGAGGCAGGCUGGAAGCCAUCUCUGGAUACAGACUGUGCUGCACAGCAAUGCAGUGUCGUCAAGGUGCACAUUCCCCAUGGAGGAGAAAGGAUUCAGUCGUGCUGAAAAUAGAUCCUUCUUGAGACAGUGAUCAGACAGCUGCUCCCUUUCUGCCAGGGCCUAAGAUGUGGAUUUUGUUCCCCCUAUCCCAGCAGUUAACUGAGAGAUAGGGAGUGAGGAGGCACUUUUUAGCCAGGCAGCAGCCAGGCUGGGGAGGGCAAGAGGAAGUUCCUGCAGGGGCUGUGUGUUGGCCACUGGGAACCUCCCCCUCCUGCCUGUUCAGACUCACCAAGCUCAUGAACUGGAAACACAAGAAUGGCCUGUAUGGGCAGAGGUUUUGCAGCAGGAAAAGGAAUGGUUUUUUGUAGUCUUUGCCCCUGGAAGCUACUCAGGCUAUAUGCUCUGUGAUUCCCUAAGACAGACGGCCCUCCAAGGUGAUCCCUCUGGCUGGGGAAGUCUCCAGGUGUUCCCUCCAGGUGGCCACUCCAUGGCUAUCAGUGAAUUCUUUGAUUUCACUUCACUCAAUUAACAGACAGUUAAUUCCAUGCCACUUGCCAAAGCAUAUCCCUCCUGAACACCAAAUCCAUAAUACUGCUUCUCAUGAACUUCAGCUGAAAUGUCCUCGGCAGAAGCAGCAGGCUUUGGUUGCUUUCAGUCCUUGAAGAGCAGAGUGACCUGCAGGCAGAGUCAGAGGUCUGUGGAACUCAUUGGGGCAGCAAAAUGCAUCACAUCACAUCAGGAAGGAGCUCCACCAGGUGAGGAGCAGCAGGGCAGGCAGAGUACAGGAGAUUCUUCUCAUUACCACAGGCUGGACAUAUUCUCAGUGGUAACUGCAUGCUGGUGAGCAUUUCUCCAUGUCCAUAACAGGAAUUUAGGGUUGUGGUUCAAACUUUUUUUUUCAUUAUGAGUUGCCAGGCAUGAUUUUUCAGAGAUAUGUGUAUGAUACAGCAUUAGCAUCACCUUUGUGGGCUAUUUCUGACAAUAUCACAACACUGAAGGAAGUAAGACUGCAUGAUGUCUCUGCCCAUGUCAGAGAGAUUGGAUUAGGUGAGAUUUAAAGGUCUCUUCAACCCAAACCCUUCGGUGAUCUGUGUGGCUCUCUGAAUGGCUGUCCUGGGUGAGUCCAAAGGAACAGGCAGACUCUCACACCCAAGACAUUUGUCAUCAUCCCACUCUCCUCAGACACCCAGGCUCUGCAUGAUAUUCCACUCAGGUGGUAAGGCCUUCUAGAAAACAAACCAUCUCAAGGUGGUGAAAAAUGUCAUAUCAAUGGAGAAAAAACAACUUACACUUGGGAAACUGUACUGAAAACAACAAUGCAUUCCGUGUCCCUGCCAGUAAUAGGAGACAAGCCCAAGCACAUUCCUACUAUCUCUAUAUGAAGCCCAAGAAGCCUUUGGCCUUCUCAGGUCUCAGUGACCUAUUUGUAUCCCCACGUGGAGCCUGUAAUGGUCAUGGGAUAGAGCAAAUAUCCUCUUCAACAGAGAUCCCCUUGCACACCCUGUUAGUGAGCCCUGGGAGGCUGGAGAGAGCUCGGGGCUGCUCAGCUUCUGCUGCAGUAGGAAACCUCCUGCCUGGAGAGCAGGCUCAGGUGCCUUACACAGACAGAGGUCUCCUUGUGUGUGGGGACAGGUCACUGCAGCUCCUCCUCACGUGGUCAGGGUCUCUGAUGCCCGACAAGGAAUUGAGAUGUGCUCAGGGCCAUGGGGGCCACCAGGAAUGAGCAGGAUCUGUAUGGAUGUGCCGUAGUUGAGACAGUCACAAUACAAAGCAACACUCCGUUUUCAGAAGGCUUCAGACUGGUUUUAUUACAGCACGCAUGCUGUAUGUACAUGUUUUAUUACAACACACAUGCUCUUACAAAACUCGUAAGUUUACACUUUACUCGUUGGUCACAAAGGACAAGCAAAGUGCUCAUUGGAACAGGCAGUUGUAGGUUUCUCUUAUUUAUCCUUCUUUCUUUCUUGGUUUCUAUGUCGAUGACCUUGGUAGAAAAUUCUUUCAGGGGUAAACAUGGAUCCUAUUCUCAAGCUUCUCUCUGGCUCACAGAAGUUGCUGUAAAACCUCUUCCACAUGGAUGUGCUGCUCCUCUGAGCACAUAUUACAGCUAAGGUGGAAGAAAGGCAGUCCUGCAUGUGGUGGGUAACUGCUGGUGAUUACUCUGCCCUACUUCAACCAAAUCAAUUUGCUGGGUGACUGGUGCCCAGACCCUGAUAAACCAUGGUAGAUAUUCCAUAAGAUACAACCUACAUGCAUCUGUUCAUUGCUUACAUAUACGUUUGAUGUGCUAUCAGCUCCCUUAAUGCCAUGUCACACAGGGAACAGGCUUGGAGACAAGCAGCUGUGCUUGGGCAUGCUUCUCAAGUUGUGUCCCUCUCAGUGACAGUGGGUGAGACUCAAGAGUGGCACAGACCAGCUCACAGAGCCGUGGGGAGACAGGUAAAGCAGCAAACUUUCAUUUGGGGGUGAGAACUCUCCAUUCAGUAUCAGAGCUGUUUAUCAGACUCCUCACAUUCCCAGAAAACGCCGGCGGAAGAGCUGCCCUAGGAGGUGACAUUCAGGAUGUCCUUUCUGUCACCCACCACAGCAGCUGAGGAGCUCCUGUUACAGAGCAGGGGAGUGGGGUGGGCAGGCUAAGACGCCUCCGGGUAAGACAAAGUCAAAAGAAGGCAAGUGGCAAAAGGGGGAGGGAAGGAGAACUAGGAUUAGGUGCAUAAUAUUAGCACAAGCAGCAACUGUAGCCUAAAAAAGACAGCAAUGGGGUGGUGUCUUCCUCGGCUGGCACUCAUUUGGGACAGAUGCACAAAUCCUACUUCUGGGCAGAUUUCAGUGCUCUAAAUGGAAAUAAACUGAUAUGGAAUUUCUAUAAAUCUGCUCACUUUAAAAAUUAGGCUUUCAAGACUAAGACAACCCUGUGGAUUAUCACAGAAUUUUCUGAGUGACACUCACUGUAGUGAAGUUGCCAACAGGAUACACAGCAGACUUUUCUAGCGACAUUUCUGAACUUGUUCUUGCAGAAAAAUUCCUUUUGCAUCCUUAGGAAAUUUAUUAAAGGUUUCAUUAUUUUAUAUUGGAAGACA